rnacentral:rRNA from 1 species
ACCAUGCAAGUCGAACGAUGAAGCCCAGCUUGCUGGGUGGAUUAGUGGCGAACGGGUGAGUAACACGUGAGUAACCUGCCCUUAACUCUGGGAUAAGCCUGGGAAACUGGGUCUAAUACCGGAUAGGAGCGUCCACCGCAUGGUGGGUGUUGGAAAGAUUUAUCGGUUUUGGAUGGACUCGCGGCCUAUCAGCUUGUUGGUGAGGUAAUGGCUCACCAAGGCGACGACGGGUAGCCGGCCUGAGAGGGUGACCGGCCACACUGGGACUGAGACACGGCCCAGACUCCUACGGGAGGCAGCAGUGGGGAAUAUUGCACAAUGGGCGAAAGCCUGAUGCAGCGACGCCGCGUGAGGGAUGACGGCCUUCGGGUUGUAAACCUCUUUCAGUAGGGAAGAAGCGAAAGUGACGGUACCUGCAGAAGAAGCACCGGCUAACUACGUGCCAGCAGCCGCGGUAAUACGUAGGGUGCGAGCGUUAUCCGGAAUUAUUGGGCGUAAAGAGCUCGUAGGCGGUUUGUCGCGUCUGUCGUGAAAGUCCGGGGCUUAACCCCGGAUCUGCGGUGGGUACGGGCAGACUAGAGUGCAGUAGGGGAGACUGGAAUUCCUGGUGUAGCGGUGGAAUGCGCAGAUAUCAGGAGGAACACCGAUGGCGAAGGCAGGUCUCUGGGCUGUAACUGACGCUGAGGAGCGAAAGCAUGGGGAGCGAACAGGAUUAGAUACCCUGGUAGUCCAUGCCGUAAACGUUGGGCACUAGGUGUGGGGACCAUUCCACGGUUUCCGCGCCGCAGCUAACGCAUUAAGUGCCCCGCCUGGGGAGUACGGCCGCAAGGCUAAAACUCAAAGGAAUUGACGGGGGCCCGCACAAGCGGCGGAGCAUGCGGAUUAAUUCGAUGCAACGCGAAGAACCUUACCAAGGCUUGACAUGUUCUCGAUCGCCGUAGAGAUACGGUUUCCCCUUUGGGGCGGGUUCACAGGUGGUGCAUGGUUGUCGUCAGCUCGUGUCGUGAGAUGUUGGGUUAAGUCCCGCAACGAGCGCAACCCUCGUUCCAUGUUGCCAGCACGUAGUGGUGGGGACUCAUGGGAGACUGCCGGGGUCAACUCGGAGGAAGGUGAGGACGACGUCAAAUCAUCAUGCCCCUUAUGUCUUGGGCUUCACGCAUGCUACAAUGGCCGGUACAAUGGGUUGCGAUACUGUGAGGUGGAGCUAAUCCCAAAAAGCCGGUCUCAGUUCGGAUUGGGGUCUGCAACUCGACCCCAUGAAGUCGGAGUCGCUAGUAAUCGCAGAUCAGCAACGCU